CAGGUCAGGCGGGGCUACCC
rnacentral:rRNA from 1 species